UACGUAGGGUGCUAGCGUUGUCCGGAUUUAUUGGGCGUAAAGAGCUCGUAGGCGGCUUGUCGCGUCUGCUGUGAAAACUGGAGGCUCAACCUCCAGCCUGCAGUGGGUACGGGCAGACUAGAGUGCGGUAGGGGAGAUUGGAAUUCCUGGUGUAGCGGUGGAAUGCGCAGAUAUCAGGAGGAACACCAAUGGCGAAGGCGGUCUGCUGGGCCAAGACUGACGCUGAGGCGCGACAGCGUGGGGAGCAAACAGG
rnacentral:rRNA from 1 species